rnacentral:rRNA from 1 species
CGGACGGGUGAGUAACGCGUGAGUAACCUGCCUUACACAAGGGGAUAGCCGUUGGAAACGACGAAUAAUACCCUAUGAAACUAUCACUUCGCAUGAAGCGAUAGUCAAAGUGUUAGCGGUGUAAGAUGGACUUGCGUCUGAUUAGCUAGUUGGUGAGAAAAAGCCCACCAAGGCAACGACCAGUAGCCGGCUUGAGAGAGUGUACGGCCACAUUGGGACUGAGACACGGCCCAG